rnacentral:rRNA from 1 species
AACGAACGCUGGCGGCAGGCCUAAUACAUGCAAGUCAAGGGGUAGCAAUACACCGGCGGACGGGUGCGUAACGCGUACACAACAUACCUUUAAGCGGGGGAUAGCAUUGGGAAACUGGUGGUAAUACCCCAUAACAUUGCGAGUUGGCAUUAACUUGCAAUUAAAGUUUCGGCGCUUAAAGAUUGGUGUGCGUCUGAUUAGCUAGUUGGCGGGUAACGGCCCACCAAGGCGACGAUCAGUAGGGGGUGUGAGAGCAUGACCCCCCACAUGGGUACUGAGACACGGACCCAACUCCUACGGGAGGCAGCAGUAAGGAAUAUUGGACAAUGGGCGGAAGCCUGAUCCAGCCAUGCCGCGUGAAGGAUGAAGGCGCUCAGCGUUGUAAACUUCUUUUGGAUGGGGACAAUAAUCUCGAUUUAUCGGGACUUGAGGGUACCAUCAGAAUAAGCACCGGCUAACUCCGUGCCAGCAGCCGCGGU